rnacentral:lncRNA from 1 species
GCUGUGCGCGCGCCCGGCCGUCCUUCCUGUCGCACUUCAGGUGGACAAGCGUGGGCUUGUCGAGUGCAACCGCAGAGGCACCGGCGGCCACCACGUCACCCCUCCCUUCGCAGGGUCCUCUUCCUGUUCUCUGACUCUGCUUCGGAGAGUGCUUCCUUAGCUUCGGGAAGAGGCUGUAAUCUAACUCAUCGUCUGUUUGCUCUGAAAACCAGCGUGGACGUGCAGAGGCCGACUGGAUCACCGUCAGUAACCGUGCUGCCAGUCCGAGAAGCCAGCCCGGCCUCUGAAGCGUACGACCUUGAGCUGCUCAAGGACAAGCACAGACCAAGGGAUGCUCUCUGGACGAAGAUGCUCCAAGAGAAAAUGAAUACGCAGCAGAGGCAGAGGAAGACCCCCAGCCUUGGCUCUCAGCGGGACCUGGAGAGCCAGCGGAGAGAGGACAAGAUUAUCUGUAAAUCAGAUAAGAAGGAUUCUCAAAGUAAAAGAUAUCUUAGUCGCUUACAUCAGAUGUAUUCCACUUCGCUCGCCAACAUGGAGUUCUCCAGGAGGAGUAACCUUCCAGAACAAAUGAGGAGUAAGCCUGCCUCUCCAGGGAUGACCACAGCACCCCUCACCCUGGAACAAGCAAGUCAGAAGUCCCGUGUUCUGGAGGCUAAGGCAGCAAGUCGAUACUGGACUAACUAUGUGGAUUGA